UUAGGAAAUUUUCGCAAUGGGGGCAACCCUGACGGAGUAACGCCGCGUGGAGGAUGACGGCCUUCGGGUUGUAAACUCCUUUUCUGGGGGAAGAGCAGAAGACGGUACCCCAGGAAGAAGCCUCGGCUAACUACGUGCCAGCAGCCGCGGUAAUACGUAGGAGGCGAGCGUUGUCCGGAAUUACUGGGCGUAAAGAGCGCGUAGGCGGCACUGUACGACCGCUGUGAAAGCCCCCGGCUCAACUGGGGAGGGUCAGUGGUAACGGCAGAGCUUUCGAGUCUAGGAGAGGGAAGUGGAACUCCGGGAGUAGCGGUGAAAUGCGUAGAUACCCGGAGGAACACCAGUGGCGAAGGCGGCUUCCUGGUCUAGAACUGACGCUGUGGCGCGAAAGCUAGGGGAGCAAACGGGAUUAGAUACCCCUGUAGUCC
rnacentral:rRNA from 1 species